UUCUUUUUCAUCUCAUUACCCAUUUGACCAUCUAUCAAUCUACAUUUCUUCUUCUCGCCGGAAACCACCGCCCUAAUUGUAAGCCACCACUUCUCUUCCUUCUCCUUGUCCUCUUCACUCUACCUUGUUGUUCCUCUUUUCUCACUUUGUUUGUCACGAGAGUUUAGAAAAUUCUAGCACAUCUAAACUUCGAUAAAUGCGAUUUCAAUUGGAAACCCUAACUUUGCUGUGCCAAAUUCCCUCUCAGAAGCAUCAGCGGCGAGAAGAAAUGAAGCAUUACCGCUGGUCGUAACACAUCCCCUACAGUCAUACAGUUGUUUCUCCAAUUCCAACAUGAUGGCCUGGCUGGUUUCUUCAACUUAGGUCGGCGGUUUGAGUUUUGUGUGUAAUAUUUCAAUCUCUCGAAGAAGGGAUGGUGAUCAUAUCCUUGUAAAGAUUCACUGCUGGAUGCAUUUUUCAGUUGGUAAUAGUACCACCAGAGCCAUGGAGGAGUUGCUAUGGGUGCUGCACUACUUUUUCCAGCUAGGUCAUAAUUUCACUAAUUGCAGCACAGCUGAUAAUUUUAGCCACAACAAUAUUGUUGGAAAAGGGAUGGAUUGGCUGAUGGAUCUCUUGUGGUAGUUUCUUACUGUUGUACUGAAAUUGUUGCUGGUGGCUUCUAGAUUGUUGAUUUCCAAGUUAUGUUUCGCAGGUAUGUUGAAUUUUUUCUCUUUUUGUGGACAUGAUAUUGAUUUUUCUUAGUCUGACACUCUGCGUAGUCGCUAGAAAGCGUAGCCUUUUUUUCCCGUUUGCCCGUUUGCAGAUACACUGAAAUUUUGAGGGGUGCUGGAAGAUAAUUGGAAGUAGAUAAAGAGAAUAACAUGUAUUUUUAGAUUUAUAUUUUUAAAUGAGUACACUUUUCUCAUAUUAAUAAUUUGUCAUGUCGUUCGACCAUGACAUUUUUAGGGGAACUAUAUAUGUAAUGCCUUUAAUUAUUUAUAGAUAUAUUUUUUUUGAGUUAA